rnacentral:sRNA from 1 species
AGGUGACAGUAUAUUUAGUCUGUGUCCUCGCCCUUUAUCUCAGUGUCCUCGGGGAGUCUCAAGCAGCCCGGAGGAGACUGACGGUCCCUGGGACCCUGAAGGUCACCCGGGCGGCCCCCUCACUGACCCUCCAAACGCCCCUGUCCUCGCCCUGCCUCCUGCCAUUCCCGGCCUGAGUCUCAGCAUGGCGGAUGGGAGCAGCGAUGCGGCUAGGGAACCUCGCCCUGCACCAGCCCCAAUCAGACGCCGCUCCUCCAACUACCGCGCUUAUGCCACGGAGCCGCACGCCAAGAAAAAAUCUAAGAUCUCCGCCUCGAGAAAAUUGCAGCUGAAGACUCUGCUGCUGCAGAUUGCAAAGCAAGAGCUGGAGCGAGAGGCAGAGGAGCGGCGCGGAGAGAAGGGGCGCGCUCUGAGCACCCGCUGCCAGCCGCUGGAGUUGGCCGGGCUGGGCUUCGCGGAGCUGCAGGACUUGUGCCGACAGCUCCACGCCCGUGUGGACAAGGUGGAUGAAGAGAGAUACGACAUAGAGGCAAAAGUCACCAAGAACAUCACGGAGGUGGGACGCAUGGGCAGCUCGGGUACCUUCGGGGUAGGGUGAGAUGGCUGGGACUUGGUCUCUGCCUGACCCCUUGCAGCUGCUUUUGGCUGCACAUCCCAGGAGACCCAGGACAACUGUGAGCCUGGCAGGGCUGGGGCAGAAGGAUGAGUACAAUAUAGUCAAGGAAAGCUGUUCUAGGCAGAGGGAACAGCACAUGCAAGGCCAUGGGUUGGGAAACAGAAAAUACGUUAGUGAACAUGCUCAGGGCAUCACAUGUUGGUAAAUUAGCUCAGGCAUUGGCCAGGGAAUUGUGAUUUGCAUGUAGCUGGACCAGGUUAUGCCAGUGGUUUUGAGAGGUGAUGCUGGAGCAUAUGAGGAGGGGGAUUCAGUUCCAGGAUUAGAAGCCUAGACUGGGAGCCUAAGCCGGGAAGAGACUGGAUGAGGCCUCGGUACUG